CUCUGUCCAGUCUCAACGUCAACAGUGAAGUGGAGACUCCUGGAUGCUGGCCUUCUAGGCAGAGUUCCUCUGUCCAGUCUCAACGUCAACAGUGAAGAGGAGACUCCUGGAUGCUGGCCUUCUAGGUAGAGUUCCUCUGUCCAGUCUCAACGUCAACAGUGAAGAGGCGACUCCUGGAUGCUGGCCUUCUAGGCAGAGUUCCUCUGUCCAGUCUCAACGUCAACAGUGAAGAGGCGACUCCGGGAUGCUGUCCUUCUAGGCAGAGUUCCUCUGUCCAGUCUCAACGUCAACAGUGAAGAGGAGACUCCGGGAUGCUGGCCUUCUAGGCAGAGUUCCUCUGUCCAGUCUCAACGUCAACAGUGAAGAGGCGACUCCAGGAUGCUGUCCUUCUAGGCAGAGUUCCUCUGUCCAGUCUCAACGUCAACAGUGAAGAGGCGACUCCGGGAUGCUGGUCUUCUAGGCAGAGUUCCUCUGUCCAGUCUCAACGUCAACAGUGAAGAGGCGAC